AUUGAACGCUGGCGGCAGGCCUAACACAUGCAAGUCGAACGGUAACAGGAAGAAGCUUGCUUCUUUGCUGACGAGUGGCGGACGGGUGAGUAAUGUCUGGGAAACUGCCUGAUGGAGGGGGAUAACUACUGGAAACGGUAGCUAAUUCCGCAUAACGUCGCAAGACCAAAGAGGGGGACCUUCGGGCCUCUUGCCAUCGGAUGUGCCCAGAUGGGAUUAGCUAGUAGGUGGGGUAACGGCUCACCUAGGCGACGAUCCCUAGCUGGUCUGAGAGGAUGACCAGCCACACUGGAACUGAGACACGGUCCAGACUCCUACGGGAGGCAGCAGUGGGGAAUAUUGCACAAUGGGCGCAAGCCUGAUGCAGCCAUGCCGCGUGUAUGAAGAAGGCCUUCGGGUUGUAAAGUACUUUCAGCGGGGAGGAAGGGAGUAAAGUUAAUACCUUUGCUCAUUGACGUUACCCGCAGAAGAAGCACCGGCUAACUCCGUG
rnacentral:rRNA from 1 species